rnacentral:rRNA from 1 species
UACGUAGGGGGCAAGCGUUGUCCGGAUUUAUUGGGCGUAAAGAGCUCGUAGGCGGUUUGUCGCGUCUGCUGUGAAAACUCGGGGCUUAACCCCGGGCCUGCAGUGGGUACGGGCAGACUAGAGUGCGGUAGGGGAGACUGGAAUUCCUGGUGUAGCGGUGAAAUGCGCAGAUAUCAGGAGGAACACCGGUGGCUAAGGCGGGUCUCUGGGCCGUAACUGACGCUGAGGAGCGAAAGCGUGGGGAGCGAACAGG